AGUACCUUUAACUCAGUCCCGUGAGACUGGCAAGGUGGCGCAUAUUCGAACGUAUCCAGGGUUGUCCCAAUUACAGGCGGUACUCUGCCUGCCAAUAGGGCACUUAGGUAGGCCCUGCGACGUUCACAAACCUGCAGCUAACACCUCCUUGCGUCUGACGCAAGGAGGUUUUUUUGU
rfam:Cohnella sp. VKM B-2846 B2846_22, whole genome shotgun sequence.